AUCCAGAUGACUAGUCCCAAAUGGGAUGAAAUAUGCGUCCUGGAU
rnacentral:hammerhead_ribozyme from 1 species